rnacentral:lncRNA from 1 species
GCCUCAGGGAAGAGGAAGGAGGCCGCGGCUUCGCGUCCCGCCUCUCGCCUGGCUGGCCGUGGGGGGCCUGGACGCAGUGGCCUCCCGAAUCUCCCAGGACCCUAAUGUCGCCCGAGGAUGCUGGGAGGAACACUGAGCCGACCUCUCCGUUAGGCUGAAGAUUGCACAAACCAUGCUAAUGGCCAGCAUGGGUGGAGGGAGCGUGUGAGAUGUGUGGGGCGGCGUGCUGCAUCUCAGCCAACUCCAGGAGAUGGAACGAAGUCUGUUUGUGGAAACACCCUUCCCCUCUGUUUACUUGGACCUGAUUUUGAAAGUAGCAAGUCACUUUAUUUGGGCUGGAGGAAAAAGCACUAAACCAGAUGUUGAGGUGACCGGGAUUCCUGGAAGACAUUCUUCUCUCCAACGAGACACAUGAUGCAUGAAGUAGGAGCCCCUGGCAAGGAGCCCAGGCCGCCAUGGCCUCGCUUGCUUCUGCUUCCCGGCAUGGCCCCGAGGCUAGCUGCCUCUGUACCGCCUGAGCAUCGUCCCCUGGCGUGUCACCAGACUACCCACUACCUGUGCUUGCACCUGCAGAUGGGCAGUUCAGUCGUUGCAGGCUGAAGCUCCCUGUCACAGGAGUCCAUCAGCACUGGAGUUUACCAAAUGGCCCAGUCCAGGAAGCAUGCUCAUGGCAAUACCCGGAGUCUCCACUGCAAGACCAGAGUGAUGGAGGCAGCAGAGCUCCUCAGCAGGCCAGGAGUCUCC